AUCUGUGUGUCUAAAGUACAGAUCUGUGUGUGUCUAAAGUACAGAUCUGUGUGUUUCUGUAAAGUACAGAUCUGUGUGUUUCUGUAAAGUACAGAUCUGUGUGUUUCUGUAAAGUACAGAUCUGUGUGUUUCUGUAAAGUACAGAUCUGUGUGUCUGUAAAGUACAGAUCUGUGUGUUUCUGUAAAGUGCAGAUAUGUGUGUUUCUGUAAAGUACAGAUCUGUGUCUCUGCAUAACGUGUUGUAGUGGCUGCAUGAGCUACUCUGGUGGGAAUGAGGUCCAAAUCAGAGCUCAUGUUAAUUCCACAUUGAUGCUGAGAUAUGAUAAUUAGAUAUGGGCAGGUUCACUCUGUAACAUCACCUGCUUGUACUUCAGAUGGUCUUCCUCUGAGGAGUGGUCUUCAGCGUGUCUGAUUUGGCCUCUUGUUCAGGAUCCCUUAGUACCCUAAUUAUUAACAAAUCCUUAGCUGCUGAAGCAAUGACCUGAUGCUCCAUGGGUCAGAGGUCAUCAGGUGAACUUUAACCUUCGGUCUACAAAGACCUCCUCAUGUUGGAACAUGUUCAGGAAGAGUAAAGCACGUUGGCUGGCACAGAUUUGAACCGUUGAAGCAUUUCAUAAAUUCAGUGAUCUUUCAUUUUUAACAAUUUAAGUGUAUCAUUUGAAUGCCACAGUGUGCGCUUUGAUCAGGCGGUAUUCAUCACAACCAACUCCAAUCUCAACUAGCAACUAGGGAUGGGCAAGAGUAGUAAAUUCCAAACUCGAGUGAUCGAAGGAAUUCCUCGAGGAUCAAUCGAGUACUCGUUUAAUCAAAUCUAUUUUUAGAAUGCAACGCAUCUGCAGCAGGAAUAGGCCUAAUGAUGAACGGCAAUAUUACCAACCAAACAUGUAAUGCUUAUUCUCCAUCAAAACAGUCAGGGUUAUCAGAGUAUUGAUUAUUUAUUUUUGCAAACGUUCAAAACACAUUUUCCUUACAAAAAUAAAUAUGCGUCUCACAAUUUAAAUCACGUCGAACCAAGGCCUGUAACGGUUUAAAAAAAAAAAAAAAACAUUGCAAAUAAUUUAAAGCUGCAAAUAAAACGGCAGCAAAUGGACUAUGGAAAUACUCAGCGUUGUGAUCUUCUCUGCACGGCCGGGAUUACAGCUGCGUCUUGCGGCGGUGAAAAUAGCCGACACACUUAGUUGCUGCGGGUCUGCUUUCCCCAACUCACCGUUGUGUUUCAGGAGCAUAUGUUGCCGCAGCAUAGUACUUGUAGUACUCUGGUACCUCGAUUUCGCUUGGCAUAUUUUAAAUUUCACCUUAUGAUCUCCUAUUUCUUUAAAGUAUUUCAAUUCUUCGCUGCGCUUUGCUUUAACCGCCGUCUCUUAACUUUUUGAAUUCUGGCGUGCCUGCACACGGCACGGCACGCGCCACACAGAAAUGGAUACAUUUCACUUUCUUUGUGCCCACGGCAUGCGUUGGUGGCGCCGCACAGACAAGUGAUACAUUUGCUUCAGAAAACUUUGUUAGUGUGUGUAUAUAUGCAAACUCGAGUUUGCCUGUCUACCAACCGAGUUCAUUUGUAACGAGGAGUACUCGAGUAAUCGAUUCCUCACGCCCAACCCUACUAGCAACCAAUCAAACUUAAACCAGGUGGGCUUUUCCUCCGCGUUCUUCCCAACGUGCUCAGUCAGAUAGACACAGUGUUCCUGGGAAUGCCGCCUAGCGUUCCUGGGCCUAGGGGGGCGUCCACAUCUAGGAUCGACCCCUGCACCUCACACACCAGACCUCUGGAUGGUUCUACGUGUCAACACUGGUCCCCGUCAGAGAGAGCAGAAUGAGUGUUUCCCUCCACAGGCGUUGUCCCGGGCGAGGUCGUUUUAGUGCGGGUGCGGGAGCGCCGGACCAGCAGCCAAUCUCACGGAUCGUUAACUCCCAUCCGCCGAUAACGGCGGCCUGGAGAGCGACCUCGGGGACGGCAAAUGUUUGCACUUCUGCAGGCGGCGGUCUGGGGUGGCCACGGCCGGCAUACGGCGGCGUGGUCCCGAUCACGGAUUCUCCGGUUGUCAUGGCGGCGAAUUCCCGUGGAACACGGGUUCCCCUGUUGGCGUGGUGCUGGGAGCACGGGUUCUGCUGUUGUCAUGGUCCUACUGAACACGGGUUCUCCUGCUGAACACGGGUUCUCCUGUUGUCGUGGUCCCGGGAACACGGGUUCUCCUGUUGGCACACGGCGUGAUCCUGCUGAUCACAGGUUCUCCUGUUGGCACACGGCGUGGGCCUGCUGAUCACAGGUUGUCCUGUUGUCGGUCCUCUUCAUGGGCUCCGCGCGGCGCUCCUGAUGGAGGGGGCCGGGCCACGCCGUUUAAGCUGAAGGUGCUCCAGCCGUUUAUCAGCGGAGGCGGGCUGAGAGCGUGGGGUCGACGUCCGGCUGCGUGGACCCCGACGCGGUGGGGGGGAACACCUGAGGCCGGGGACGCAUCGUCUGGUUUGUGGUCAGGUACUGAGGAAGAGCUUCAGUCGACUGGUCCGUUAGAACCUUAAGGGUAGCGGUCUAAAGGAGAGGGCGGUGGGACACUGGUGGAACGGGGAUAGCAUCAUCCAGGCCCUUGGGGCUGGACUCGGACGGAAGGACAAAGAGGGAACAAACGUAACACAAUCCGGAUUCUGCAGAUUUAGAUUGUUGUGUCCUGAGGGAGCAGAAUCACGCGGGUUACGGCUUUGUGUCCAAUCCAAUCUGUCCUUUGUGUUUGUGUGUCUGUGUUUGUGUGUCUGUUUGUGUGUGUCUGUGUGGAAUGAGGGCACCUGUGCUGGUGGAUUUGGCGUCCCAAUAUCCAGAGCGAUAACGUCUGCCCCCCCCCCAUCAUCCCAUGCCUCUCUCUGAUUGGCUGGAGUGGGAGUUCGGAUAAGGUUCUGUCGUCUAAUCCGCCCAGCGAUCGCCGCUGACGGCCGUCCGUAGGAUGGCUUAGUGGAGGACAAAUCUCCGCCAGAUAGGAACUCUCUUCUCUCUACUACACCUCUCUCUUUGACUCUGUCUCUCUCUUCUCCUCUCUCUCCUUCUCUUCUCUCUGUCUCUCUCUCUCUCUACUCCACCUCUCUCUCUCUCUCGCUCGUCUCUCUCUCUCUCGCUCGUCUCUCUCUCUCUCUCUCUCGCUCGUCUCUCUCUCUCUCGCUCGUCUCUCUCUCUCGCUGGUCUCUCUCUCUCUCUCUCUCUCUCUGUCUCUGUCUCUGUCCCUCUCUGUCUCUCUCUCUCUCCUCCACCUCUCUCCUCUCUGUCUCUCUCUCCUCCACCUCUGUCUCUCUCUCUCUCUGUCUCCUCCACUGUCUGCUUUGUUCCAUCACGCCUCCUCUAUCUCUACAUCGCUGCCAAGCCCUUCAGGCACUUUCCUCUCCACCUCUCUCCUCUUCUCAGCCUUUAUCUGUUAUUCGGUGCUUCCCCACUCUCGUCUUUUUCUUUCACUCUUACUUUCUUUUUCACUUUUCCGUGUGGUGGGAAAUGUGUGAUGGUGGUCCCUCUUAGCUGGGAGCACUGGGACUGAACUGGAAUAUAAAGUCUGGUUGUUGUUCAUCCGGUGUGUGUGUGUGUGUGUGUGUGUGUGUGUGUGUGUGUGUGUGUGUGUGUGUGUGUGUGUGUGUGUGUGUGUGUGUGUGUGUGUGUGUGUGUGUGUGUGUGUGUGUGUGUGUGUGUGUGUGUGUGUGUGUGUGUGUGUGUGUGGCCAUCUUUCUCUGCUGGUUGUAAUCUCCCACCGCAGAGCGGCACAUCCUUCCUGGUGUCAGGCGCUCCUCUCUGUGUGUGUUUGUUGUUGUGCGCUCUGUCGGUUGUAAACGGCGGUUUGUCAGAUAGAGGCGUGGUGCGGGGAGUGGGACCCGUAUGUCUGGAGGACGGGGAGGGAACGUGUUGGACCGGCUGGAGCUGAAGCUCUGCUGGCCUGAGGCGGAGACGAGAGGGAGGCUCCCGACCCCUGACCUCUGACCCCCACCUCCAGGUAGAGGCUCCUGACCCCCGACCUCCAGGUAGAGGCUCCUGACCCCCUGAACUCCAGGUAGAGGCUCCCGACCUCCAGGUAGAGGCUCUUGACCCCUGACCUCUUGACCUCCAGGUAGAGGCUCCUGACCUCUUGACCUCCAGGUAGAGGCUCCUGAGAGUCCUGACCCCCUGACCUCUUGACCUCCAGGUAGAGGCUUCUGACCUCCGCCAGCCUGUGUUCGCGUUAAGCUGCCAGCCCUGACAGCGUCGUGGCCCCUGAUGUAUGGCGGCCUGUCAGGCAGACGACACAGAGCCCCACACACAGACACGAACGCGCACACACACGGCUGUAUUACCGCCCGGUUAGGACCGCAUUUCAUUGUGAACUAAGCCUGAAAUGCGUAAAGAAUCCGGUCAAUCUGCCACUGUAAUGUUCAGCUUUUCGUUUUGUUGAGGGUAAAACGACAUUUAUUUACUCUCCUAAUGACUUUGCCUUCUGGAGGCCACCGACAGACCGACGACACCUGAUGCUCUGCGCUCACUCUCAGGGUUGAGUCAUAUUGCCCACUGCCAACUAGCUGCUGUUGCUGUUGCCUCAUAUAUAUGAUAAUGAGGGAGGGGGGCUGGUGUCUGGAGGAUGUCUGGUCGCCCCCGCCCUUCAGAGUGGGAGGGGAGGAGCAUCCCUCCCAUCCUCCUCCCUGCUCCUCGCUAAACGCACUCUCCCCUUUCCCUCCUGAUCUCUCUGCCUCUCAGUCCCUGAUCUGCUCUCUCUCUGUCUCUCUGUCUCUCUGUCUCUCUCUCUCUCUCUCUCUGUCUCUGUCUCUCUCUCUCUGUCUCUCUGUCUCUCUGUCUCUGUCUCUGUCUCUGUCUCUCUCUCUCUCUUGCUCUCUCUCUCUUUGACUCUCUCUCGCAUCAUUUCUACUCUCUCUUGCUCGCUCUCUGUCACUCUCUCUCUCAUUUGUGCACAUCCUCUAUUUCUCGGUCCCCCCCCCCCCCCCCCCCCCCCCUCCCUGCUAGCUAGUCAGCACGAGCCCAUCCCUUUAAUCUGUCCAGCAUAGAGAAGAGACAGAGAGAGAGGGACAGACAGAAGGACACUGGGCCUGGAGACACUGGGACUGGAG